GAUGAACGCUGGCGGCGUGCCUAAUACAUGCAAGUCGAGCGAACGGACGAGAAGCUUGCUUCUCUGAUGUUAGCGGCGGACGGGUGAGUAACACGUGGAUAACCUACCUAUAAGACUGGGAUAACUUCGGGAAACCGGAGCUAAUACCGGAUAAUAUUUUGAACCGCAUGGUUCAAAAGUGAAAGACGGUCUUGCUGUCACUUAUAGAUGGAUCCGCGCUGCAUUAGCUAGUUGGUAAGGUAACGGCUUACCAAGGCAACGAUGCAUAGCCGACCUGAGAGGGUGAGCAGCCACACUGGAACUGAGACACGGUCCAGACGCAUACGGGAGGGAGCAGUGGGGAAUGGUGGGCAAUGGGCGAAAGCCUGAAGGAGAAAGGCAGUGGGAGUGAAGAAGUGUUUAGGAUCGUAAAACUCUGUUAUGAGGGAAGAACAUAUGGGCAACGAACUGCGCACAUCUAGACGGUACCUAAUCAGUAAGCAACGGCUAACUUCGUG
rnacentral:rRNA from 1 species